AACCCCUGGCAGUGGGCAAAGAGACACCUUGUUGGUGGUGGUGUUCUUAUUAUCAGUCAGGGGCAGAGCAGAUGGCAGUCCUUUGUUCAUCCUAGCUCGAUGCCUGGCUUGGUAACCAAAGCCAUUUUCUGCCUAGAAUUCAUAA